rnacentral:rRNA from 1 species
AGAGUUUGAUCCUGGCUCAGGAUGAACGCUAGCGGCAGGCUUAAUACAUGCAAGUCGUGGGGCAGCACAGGUAGCAAUACUGGGUGGCGACCGGCAAACGGGUGCGGAACACGUACGCAACCUUCCUUUAACUGGAGAAUAGCCCGGGGAAACCCGGAUUAAUACUCCGUAACAUUAUGAAGUGGCAUCACUUUAUAAUUAUAGCUCCGGCGGUUGAAGAUGGGCGUGCGUCUGAUUAGGUAGUUGGCGGGGUAACGGCCCACCAAGCCUACGAUCAGUAACUGGUGUGAGAGCACGACCAGUCACACGGGCACUGAGACACGGGCCCGACUCCUACGGGAGGCAGCAGUAAGGAAUAUUGGUCAAUGGACGCAAGUCUGAACCAGCCAUGCCGCGUGGAGGAUGAAGGUCCUCUGGAUUGUAAACUUCUUUUAUUUGGGAAGAAACCACCGAUUUCUAUUGGUGUUGACGGUACCAGAUGAAUAAGCACCGGCUAACUCCGUGCCAGCAGCCGCGGUAAUACGGAGGGUGCAAGCGUUAUCCGGAUUCACUGGGUUUAAAGGGUGCGUAGGCGGGUUGGUAAGUCCGUGGUGAAAUCUCCAAGCUUAACUUGGAAACUGCCGUGGAUACUAUCAAUCUUGAAUAUAGUGGAGGUGAGCGGAAUAUGUCAUGUAGCGGUGAAAUGCUUAGAUAUGACAUAGAACACCCAUUGCGAAGGCAGCUCGCUACACUAUUAUUGACGCUGAGGCACGAAAGCGUGGGGAUCAAACAGGAUUAGAUACCCUAGUAGUCC